rnacentral:tRNA from 1 species
ACAUUGGUAGUUCAUGGUAGAAUUCUCACCUUCCAUGCGGGAGACCUGGGUUCAUUCCCAGCCAACGCA